rnacentral:rRNA from 1 species
AUAUGACUCCCUCAUCACUAACAGGCUAACCUAUUACAAUAGGAGAAUUAAUGCUAGAAUGAGUAACCAGGGUAACUCCCUCUACGACGCAAGCUUACAUCUGUACAUUAUUAACAAGCACCCAAUAUACGAAAAAUCCAACAAGCAGAGUAUUAACCACCUUGUUAACCCGACAGAGGAGCGUCCGUUAAGAAAGAUUAAAACCUGUAAAAGGAACUAGGCAAACACGUCAAGGCCCGACUGUUUACCAAAAACAUAGCCUUCAGCAAACCAAAGGACAAGUAUUGAAGGUGAUGCCUGCCCGGUGACAUAGUUCAACGGCCGCGGUAUCCUAACCGUGCAAAGGUAGCGCAAUCAAUUGUCCCAUAAAUCGGGACACGUAUGAAUGGCUAAACGAGGUCUUAACUGUCUCUUACAGGCAAUCGGUGAAAUUGAUCUCCCUGUGCGAAAGCAGGGAUAACCACAUAAGACGAGAAGACCCUGUGGAACUUCAAAAACAGCAACCACCCCAAUAUACAUCCACACCCAAAGCACUGGUUAGCAUUUUUUCGGUUGGGGCGACCUUGGAGCAAAACAAAACCUCCAAAAAUUGGACCUUCCCUCCAGACUAAGAGCAACCACUCAACGUGCCAACAGCACCCAGACCCAAUACAAUUGAUCAAUGGACCAAGCUACCCCAGGGAUAACAGCGCGAUCUCCCCCGAGAGUCCAUAUCGACGGGGAGGUUUACGACCUCGAUGUUGGAUCAGGACAUCCUAGUGGUGCAGGAGCUACUAAGGGUUCGUUUGUUCAACGAUUAACAGUCCUACGUGAUCUGAGUUCAGACCGGAGCAAUCCAGGUCGGUUUCUAUCUAUGACGAACUCUUCCUCGUACGAAAGGAUCGGAAAAGUGAGGCCUAUACCACAAGCAAGCCUUCGCCUUAAGUAAUGAAGCCAACUCAAUUACAAAAGGCUAUCACACCCCAUCACGUCCUAGAAAAGGACGUUA